rnacentral:rRNA from 1 species
GAUGAACGCUAGCGGCAGGCCUAAUACAUGCAAGUCGAACGGAUAUAUGUUUUUCGGAAUAUAUAUUAGUGGCGCACGGGUGAGUAACACGUACAUAACUUGCCCUCAAGCGGGGGAUAGCCUUGGGAAACUGAGAGUAAUACCCCAUAGAAUUAUUGGACGGCAUCGUUUGAUAAUUAAAACUACGGUGUUUGGGGAUAGAUGUGCGUCUGAUUAGCUAGUUGGUGAGGUAACUGCUCACCAAGGCGACGAUCAGUAGGGGGCGUGAGAGCGUGGCCCCCCACACGGGUACUGAGACACGGACCCGACUCCUACGGGAGGCAGCAGUGAGGAAUAUUGGUCAAUGGGCGGAAGCCUGAACCAGCCAUGCCGCGUGCAGGACGACGGCCCUACGGGUUGUAAACUGCUUUUCCCCGGGAAGAAUAAGGCCCCUGCGGGGGUCGAUGCCGGUACCGGGGGAAUAAGGAUCGGCUAACUCCGUG